CUUGUUUUGCAACUUUUGGUAAAACCAUUUAUGCUUUUACAGAGUACCUAACAAGACGAAACACUGCCAAUUCUACCAGUUUGUGAAAUUAUAAUCAAGCCCCUGGUGCAGUACACGUCAUGGAGAUGUCUUGACAUUCCUUAGUCCCGUGCCUUGGGGGUAAUCAAUGCAGUGUUAGAAGUUAAAUUUGAUCUCAAUUGUGACGAUAAUGUUAAAAAUAUUUUACAUACAUUAUUCCCUUAACGCAUUUAUGGUCAAAUAACAUGAUCGAGUCAUAACAAUAACAAGAUAUUUGCCUACCCCAUGUUUUCAACAAGUGUUAAAAAUGUAAAUGUAUUUAAAGAGCCAUUGUAUUAAAAAAAAAAAAAAAGCAUUUACAUAAGAAAACAUUAUGUGUAUGUUUUAUGAUACAGGCAACUUUAUCCUAUGACACAACCAUCAAUACUUCAGUAUGAAGCAUCUUUCUCUUCUGUGAUUAAACAUUUCUUUCUGCAGUAAAUAACUUUUUUAUGAAAUUGAUAUAGUCAACCGUAAGUGCCAUGUGCGAAUUACAAAUACCGCUCUCAUUAUCAAUAAGAGAAACUUAUUGCCAGAAUGUUGCCUCUAGGAAACCUGGCACUGAUUGACUAGAGCCCAAGCACAUUCUUUCACCAACCCCGUGUUUAGGCAGCUGUCAGAAAGCAUUGAACAGCAGUCAACAUAAAAUGGAGUGUAUCUGUAAUGGUACAUGCCAAUCUUACACUAUUCAGGUGGCAACACCAUUUUAACGUUUGCUUCUAGAAAGAAAGGGUAAUGUCACUUUAAGAUAACUCCUCAAACUCUCAUGACGUAAAUCACAUUUCUAAUAACUUUGGUGGGGUGUAGAAUGCAAUUUUUUAUGGCAAGAAUCUCUAAAAUCAGUUUGAGCCCUUUCAUGCAAUCUAGGAACGUACAACAGGUAUUUCACAAAUGUUGCCUAUGCCUGGAUGAUAUUGUCACUAGAUAUAUUAGCGUUACAAAGCUUUCCAUAGUUUGAGGUAAUUGAAUGCAACACAAAUCUAACUACACCUGUAUUGGAGCUUUACUCAAUACCUACACAGGAUUGGCCAAAGUGAUCAUUUCUACCUCUAACUUCUAGUCUUACACAUAUUAAAUAUGUCGUCCUGAAAAGUCUGUGCUCCCAGUGAAAAUGGUUUAAGUGCAGCAGGAUGUUAAAGGCACUUGAUUACAAAGUUAUUUUUUAAAUUGCUUGUAGCAAUAUAAACCACCCAUGGUGGACGCGUGGGAGAUCAGUCUUCGAAAAUAUGCCAGGCAUAUGUUUUUAGAACAAAAACGGCAUUUUCCUUAAAAAGGUUCCUUAGAAAUCAAAAUUACAAGAAAAAAAGAAAAAAAAGAAAAAGUUUCGGCACCAACAGAGUGUGUUUCCCCAAUUUUCCUCAAGUCAGAUAUGCCGUGUUAAAUAUUCUCCAGUAUCCAGUCGUUGUUUUGUGCUACAUUUAAUGCUAGGUUUCCUUCAGAAUCGUCUCUCACUCCCUUGUGAAGGUCACCAGCUUCUUGAUAGUAUUCCUCCUCUUCAUCAAAGAAUCCAUUUUCCAUGGCGUAGGUGCAGUCUGCACUGGAAGCUGCCUGGCACGCACCUUUAUAUUCCUGGAUGGACUCAUAUAGGGAAUAAAGCUGGCACAGGAGGGACAUAUCCAGCUGCCUAAGCCCGACC